UACGGGGGGGGCAAGCGUUGUUCGGAAUUACUGGGCGUAAAGGGCUCGUAGGCGGGUCUUUAAGUCAGGGGUGAAAUCCUGGAGCUCAACUCCAGAACUGCCUUUGAUACUGAGGAUCUUGAGUUCGGGAGAGGUGAGUGGAACUGCGAGUGUAGAGGUGAAAUUCGUAGAUAUUCGCAAGAACACCAGUGGCGAAGGCGGCUCACUGGCCCGGUACUGACGCUGAGGUGCGAAAGCGUGGGGAGCAAACAGG
rnacentral:rRNA from 1 species